rnacentral:lncRNA from 1 species
GGACAUUUCAUUCGUCAGUGCUCACCGUUCUUUCCUCCAUGCUCACCUUCAUUUCCUCCCAGCUCACCUGACUUUCCUCCAAGUUGAAAUCCUUUCCGGCUCGCCUAACCCCGGUCCUCUCAGUGUCAGUAAGGCUUGGUAGAUCAUUCUCACCCUUCUUGACAAUCACCAAGUUGAUAACAGACAGGCCUUGGCUGACAAUGCAACCACGGACGGACUUUCUCCUGCGCUCACCAUUACGCCUGCAAAAACCACGGAAGCAAGGUGUGCCCCUGUGAAGCAAAAGGCGGACACGCCCAGAAGUAAGCACUCCUUGCUUCACCGGGAAACCCUGCUUAUCACAGCCACCCAUGACCUUGAAGAUAUAACCCUUGAAUUCCUCACCCAGAAGAUCACCAACAACCUCAAGAAAACAAGUUGAGCAAGGAGGAAAGAAGGUGAGCAAGGAGGAAAGAAGGUGAGCAAGGAGGAAAAAAGGUUAGCAAGGAGGAAAGAAGGUGACCAAGGAGGAAAGAAGGUGAGCAAGGAGGAAAGAAGGUGACCAAGGAGGAAAGAAGGUGAGCAAGGAGGAAAGAAGUGGAAAAAGAGAGAAAGAAGGUUAACAAGAAGGAAAGAAGGUUGACAAGAGGGAAGAAGUGUCACAAGGAGGAAAGUAGAGGUACACUCUGGGAGUUAAGGUGCAAGAGAGGAAAUGAAGGUUUCCUUCGCGUAUCGAGGGCGGGCUAGGGUAUGGGAUCGUGACACGGAUAAAAAAAUUCAACUUUGCUCUCGGGCGGUAAAAAGGGGGGAGGGGGCGCUUCACCUUUAGGCCUGCGACCCCCCACAGAUAGUAAGUGGGGGGGACGGGAAAGAGAACCGCUUUGUCCGCAACCAGGGUGGCGGGUCGGAGGGGGGUUUCUCCGCCCUUGAUCUGAAUUCACUUACCAUUCAGCAGAUUACAUUUCCCGGGGAGGAGAUUAAUUACUUCUUUUUUUGUGUAAUACCAAGGGGGUGCCUAAUUUCUAUCGGUUGGCACCAAAUCCCCCUUUUUGGCGGGUCGGAGAGAAUAAUAAAAAAGCGCCGCCACCGAUUUUUCUUUUCGAAAAAUUUCCGCAGCGCUUCGGGGUGUGGUGUUUUUCCCGGGGUUAAAUCUCAUUUGGGGGAAAAAGGGACGUUUCACCCGGUGGGUUUGUUGUUUGUCCACCCCGUUUGUGGAAUCUACGGGGCCGGGCCCUGACGCCCGCCCGGGGGGGUGGGAUAAUAUAGUAGGGGGGGGGGGAAAUUUCGACGCGGCCGCCGCCUGAUAAAAUUUUCAAAAUAUUUCUCCUCCCCUUCCUCCUUGUGGAGAAAGAACCAUAACUAUUACAUGCC